GCGUGCCUUUUGUAGAAUGAACCGGCGAGUUACGAUCUGAUGCAAGGUUAAGCAGCAAAUGCGGAGCCGCAGCGAAAGCGAGUCUGAACAGGGCGUUGAGUAUUUGGUCGUAGACCCGAAACCAGGUGAUCUACCCUUGGUCAGGUUGAAGUUCAGGUAACACUGAAUGGAGGACCGAACCGACUUACGUUGAAAAGUGAGCGGAUGAACUGAGGGUAGCGGAGAAAUUCCAAUCGAAC
rnacentral:rRNA from 1 species